GUGGGGAAUAUUGGACAAUGGGCGAAAGCCUGAUCCAGCCAUGCCGCGUGUGUGAAGAAGGUCUUCGGAUUGUAAAGCACUUUAAGUUGGGAGGAAGGGCAGUAAGUUAAUACCUUGCUGUUUUGACGUUACCGACAGAAUAAGCACCGGCUAACUUCGUGCCAGCAGCCACGGUAAUACGAAGGGUGCAAGCGUUAAUCGGAAUUACUGGGCGUAAAGCGCGCGUAGGUGGUUUUGUAAGUUGGAGGUGAAAUCCCCGGGCUCAACCUGGAAACUGCCUCCAAAACUGCAUGACUAGAGUACGGUAGAGGGUAGUGGAAUUUCCUGUGUAGCGGUGAAAUGCGUAGAUAUAGGAAGGAACACCAGUGGCGAAGGCGACUACCUGGACUGAUACUGACACUGAGGUGCGAAAGCGUGGGGAGCAAACAGGAUUAGAUACCCGGGUAGUCC
rnacentral:rRNA from 1 species